UCGGGGAGGAGCUGAGCUGAGCUACUGCAGGACGCAGCCCGACCGCCGAGCCUCCGUCUUUACUCCCGGGCAUCCCUCCCAGGCCUGGGCUGCGAGCUGCCGCUGCCGGGCCCAGCCAUUGCAGCUUCCCCGCUGGGGGGGCACAACAGAAGCACGUCGGCUGAUCCCCUCCAACGCGUGUAAAGACAAGCGAUAAUAAAAUCCAGGGGGAGAGUAUCAAGAGAACUGAGCAUCAAACCCAUCUGACUCCACUAUUUCUUCUCGAAAUAGUGAUUGUGAUGAGGAGAAAAUUGUGAAGAAGCGAAUGGUGUCUCACCUAUGUGGCCAGUGGCAGCUCUGGGUCUGCGGGUCAGGUCCCCUCCUGUGUAUCAGGCCUACAAGACGCAGCAGUUGCAAUAACAGCAGCAAGGCGUAGCUUGCUUGUCUGGCACGGCCGCGGCCGUUCACGGAGCCCCCGCCGGGCGAUCGGAGGGAAGAGGCGAGCUCGCUGUUUGCCAACAAACUACGCGGCGCUUCCUGCGGCUGUCCCGAGCAGCCUGUCUGCAAAUGGGAACCAAGUGCCGUUCACCGAGCUCCCUUUCCUGCUCGCACUGCUUCCUCCUCCCCCUGCCUUCCAAUCUUUCUCAAUUAAAGUGUCUGCCGGCCCCUAGGCAUUUACAUAUGUGAAUCCUAAUUCCCCUUGUCGAUGGCUGCCCGGCCUAGGGAGCCCGGAGCCUGCGUCCUUCCAGGUGGUGCGCAGGGAGCUGCUCCAUGCGAAGGACAGGCCUGCAGCCCCCGCUGGCCCGGGCGCUUUCCCCCCUUUCAAUCGCAAUUGUCAAAUUCCACUCCUUUGUUUUACUCUCCCUCCCAAAAGCUCAAGGCAGAGCCGAUGCAAAGCGCUAGCUAUGUACAAAUCGAGGAGAUCACACUCCCCAUUAUCUACCUCCUGGCGAGUGUUUGAUUUGUGACAUCAAAAGCUUAUCAAGACAAGCCUACAAAAAGCACCUCGCGUAGGCUGGGCUGAGCGAUCUCGCUGGUUUGGAUGGUCUCCCUUCCCAAGGGGUGGGGUAACAGGGGUGCUUAAAACGGUAUUGACUGCCACAGCAAAUUAAAUCGCUGCACUGAAGAGAGCUAGUGGCCAGGACCCGGGUGACUGCUAGCUCCCCGGCUGGUAGCGUAAAGAAUUUCCUGACCUGCACCCGCAGGGCAAUAUUGGGGGUCUGGCCGGCCGGACAGAAGGGGCUUAAUUGCCAUGCCUUGUUUUUUGUUUAUGUGUGUGUGAUUGAGGGUUAUAUGGAGGCCCUGAGUCCUCACAGCCAUCCGCUCCGAGUGGUUUGAUAUAAUCACCAUGACAACUGCAAUCUAUGAGCAUACAAAUAAUAGAGAUGAAAUAGACAAAAGAUUAGCAUGCCAUGAAAAGUACAAUAAGUUUCUUAUUUAGCAUUUAGAUAACUGUCUUUCCUUCGGAGCAGGCUUCAAAGUUGAACCCAGUUUAGACCAAGAGGAUUAAUUCUUUCUCCAGCAUGCUUCAUUGAAUCUCUCAUUACCAAACUUUGUCUGUAUUGAUGUUAGAUUUGAUUGAAGAUUAGAGCAUUUAGCAAAUCUUGCUUUUCUGCAUGUAUCAGGCCUUUUCAAGCACAGCCCGCCCUGCCCAGUGGUCAAUACCCUUACUUUUAUCCAGUGUCUGCUUCAUUUAAACUUAAUCAACUCCAUCAAUGAACUGGAACAGGGAAACGUCCCUGCGGUGAGAAUGUUGUGCUUUUCUUAGAUAAUUCUUUGCUCCCUUUCCCAAUCCGUUGGCGUUAAACCUAAAAUUGCACUCUGAUGAACUUAAUCAAUAUGAUAAUGACAAUUGGGGCUGAAUGGCUCUGCUAGGGCUCAAAGUGGAAAAGGUAGAUGGCUGGGCCCAUUACCCAAAACAACUUCUCUUGUCUUGCCUUUUCUUUUGUGUGAGCUACUCCUAUCUUUCUUUCUUUUUUUCUUUCUUUCCUUUUCCCUCCCCCUCCCUGACACUGAAUACUGCUCAUGCUGGAAAAUGAUGCAUCUUGGUGAGGAAAACUGAAGCAGACCGAUUGGCUCUGUGAAUUAUCUGGCUUGUUGCAGUGAAUUAUUUGCACUGUUUCCUUUACCAGUCAACAAGUUUCUGAGGUAUAGUACAGAUCAAUCAAAGCUGACAGAGCGUAUGUGAAGCUUUUACUGUGUAAAUCUGGACCUCUUGUCCUGGCUUCGUUGGCACUGGCAUCUGUAUAUCAUUUUUAUACUGCUACCAGUAGAGCAAUUUCAAAAGUAUUUGCAAGGAAAAUGUAUGUCCCCAUCUGUUCCUGGAAUCAUAAAUGUGCCACUUUUGGAGGGUUUUCACUGGUAAUCAUAUCUUUAAUGAUGAACAAACUUGUGAUAUAUACCUUUCCAUAAAAUGGGGUUUUCUUCACUUUAUUGUGAUUGGCUAGGAUAAAUAGCUUUUCCAUAUGUUAGGGAGAUAAAAUAUAAGAUUAGCAGGGCUCGUUUGUUUGAUCAUAAACAACAGAAAAAAAUCAUUCCAAAUACUCUUUAAACAGAAACAACUACAGAAUUAAGUUGCAUUAAUUGGCUAUCUAUGGCCCACCACUAAGGGGUAAACAAUUGCCUCCCUGGAAAUGACAUUUUAAAAUAAGAUUAUAGUGUUUUGUUCAUUCUGAAUUAUAAUACAUUCACUGAUUUUAAAUAUGUUGUUAUUAUUUUAAUUUUUGACGUAGUUUUGUGUCUUUAGAUUUUUUAUUUUGCAGGUUCGCUUUUGAUGGCAAUCUCUAUAGCACAAAGGGUGCUAUUUAGUAAGUUGCCACAUGUAUAUUUAGAAAGCAGAUGGGGGGGGGGGAAUGUCUUUAGCAGUCUUUGCAUGCUAUUGUUGUAAAGGUUCCUCAAGUAAGAGUGCUUGAAAUGUAAAUAUUCAAUUUUUAAACCAGCCAACCUUUUGCACUUGCUGGAAGUGUUGAAUAAAGAAUAGUAAGGGGAGUCUUUUUAA